CAGAUACAUAGAUAAGCAUGCAGAAUUUGAAUAGCGAAACAGACCCAGAAAGAUAGUCGGGGAAAAAAAAGAAAGAAAGAAAGAAAGAGAAAGAAAGAAAGAAAGAAAGAGAGCAUUGCAAGCCGUUAACAAGGAAAGCAUUAUAAAUUGAAAUGCCGCAGAACAGAGGAAGGUAAGGCUAAGUAAGGGAAGGGCACGCAGCGGAAGGGAAGGGACAGGAAGGGAGAGGAAAUAAAGAGAGAGAGAGAGAAGGUUAAGGAAAGGAGUGUUAGGUAAGGUAUGGUUAGGUUAGGAAAGGUAAAGUUAGGUUAGGUUAGGUAAGGCAAUAUCAGACAGCAAGGUGAAGGGAAGUAGAGACAGGGAGGGAGAGGAAGGGAGGGUUAAGGAAGGGAGUGUUAGGUAAGGUAUGGUUAGGUUAGGAAAGGUAAAGUUAGGUUAGGUUAGGUAAGGCAAUAUCAGACAGCAAGGUGAAGGCAGAGUAGAGAUAGGAAGGGAGAGGAAGGGAGGGUUAAGGAAGGGAGUGUUAGGUAAGGCAGAGUUAGGUUAGGUUAGGUUAGGUUAGGUAAGGCAAUAUUAGACAGUAAGGUGAAGGCAAAUAGAGAUAGGGAGGGAGAGGAAGGGAGGGUUAAGGAAGGGAGUGUUAGGUAAGGCAGAGUUAGGUUACGUUAGGUUAGGUUAGGCAAUAUUAGACAGCAAGGUGAAGGCAGAGUAGAGAUAGGAAGGGAGAGGAAGGGAGGGUUAAGGAAGGGAGUGUUAGGUAAGGCAGAGUUAGGUUAGGUUAGGUUAAGGCAAUAUUAGACAGCAAGGUGAAGGCAGAGAUAGGAAGGGAGAGGAAGGGAGGGUUAAGGAAGGGAGUGUUAGGUAAGGCAGAGUUAGGUUAGGUUAGGUUAGGUUAGGCAAUAUUAGAUAUCAAGGCGAAGGGAAGUAGAGAUAGGGAAGGAGAGGAAGGGAAGGGAAGUAGAGAUAGGGAAGGAAAGGAAGGGAAGGGUAUGCAAGGGAAGGGAAAGGAAAUGAACAGAGAGAAAGAAGGUUAAAGAAAGGAAUAUUGGGUAAGGUUAGGUUAGGUUAGGUUAGGUUAGGGAAAGGUAAAGUUAGGUUAGGUUAGGGAAGGUAAAGUUAGGUUAGGUUAGGUAAGGCAAUAUUAGACAGUAAGGUGAAGGCAAAUAGAGAUAGGGAGGGAGAGGAAGGGAGGGUUAAGGAAGGGAGUGUUGGGUAAGACAGGGUUAGGUUAGGUUAGGUUAGGUUAGGUAAGGCAAUUUUAGACAGUAAGGCGAAGGCAAAUAGAGAUAGGGAGGGAGAGGAAGGGAGGGUUAAGGAAGGGAGUGUUGGGUAAGACAGGGUUAGGUUAGGUUAGGUUAGGUUAGGUAAGGCAAUUUUAGACAGUAAGGCAAAGGCAAAUAGAGAUAGGGAGGGAGAGGAAGGGAGGAUUAAGGAAGGGAAGAAAAUAAAUAAAUAUGGGUGUGAAAGUAGAGGAAUAUAAGAGAAGCGAGCGAGAGAAAUAAUAUAAAUCGCAUUAAUUGAAAGAAGAAAACUAAUGUAAAAAAAAUAAUGUUAAUAAGUAAGCAAGAGAGGAGGAGAUAGAGCGAACCAAAAAGCCUCACAAAAAAUAGAGCGAGGAGGAUUAGAGCGAGCGAGAGAAAUAAUAUAAAUCGCGUUAAUGGAAGGGAGAAAACUAAUGUAAAAAAAAUAAUGUUAAUAAGUAAGCAAGAGAGGAGGAGAUAGAGCGAACCAAAAAGCCUCACAAAAAAUAGAGCGAGGAGGAUUAAAGCGAGCGAGCGAGUAAGAGCAAAAAAUAACAAUAAAUUAGCGAGAGAGAGGAGGAGAUAGAGCGAAUCAAAAAGCCUCACAAAAAAUAGAGCGAGGAGGAUUAGAGCGAGCGAGCGAGCAAGAGCAAAAAAUAACAAUAAAUUAGCGAGAGAGAGGAGGAGAUAGAGCGAAUCAAAAAGCCGUUAACCCAAGAUAAGGCAAACAAAAAAUAGAGCGAGGAGGAGGAUUAGAGCGAGCGAGCGAGUGAGAGCGAAAAAUAACAAUAAAUAAGCGAGAGAGAGGAGGAAAUAGAGCGAAUCAAAAAGGUCAUUAAUCCAAGACAAGGCUAACAAAAAAUAGAGCGAGGAGGAUUAGAGCGAGCGAGUGAGAGGGAAAAAUAACAAUGAAUAAGCGAGAGAGAGGAGGAAAUAGAGCGAAUCAAAAAGGUCAUUAAUCCAAGACAAGGCUAACAAAAAAUAGUGUGAGGAGGAUUAGAGCGAGAGCGAGUGAGAGGGAAAAAUAACAAUGAAUAAGAGAGAGAGGAGGAGAUAGACCGAACCAAAAAGUCGUUAAUCCAAGACAAGGCUAACAAAAAAUAGAGCGAGGAAGAUUAGAGCGAGCGAGUGAGCGAGUGAGAGCGAAAAAUAACAGUAAAUAAGUGAGAGGAGAAGAUAGAGCGAACCAAAAAGUCCGUUAACCCAAGACAAGGCUCGCAAAAAAUAGAGCGAGGAUUAGAGCAAGUGAGUGAGUGAGCGAAAAAUAACAAGAAGUAAACGAGAGAAGAGGAGAUAGAGCGAAUCAAAAAGUCGUUAAUCCAAGACAAGCCUUACAAAAAAUAGAGCGAGGAGGAUUAGAGCGAGUGAGUGAGCGAGUGAGAGCGAAAAACAACAGUAAAUAAGCGAGAAAGGAAGAGAUAGAGCGAAUCAAAAGGCCGUUAACCCAAGACAAGGUUAACAAAAAAUAGAGCGAGGAGGAUUAGAGCGAGCGAGCGAGCGAGAGCGAAAGCAAUAAAUAAGCGAGAGAGGGAAAGAUAGAGCGAAUCAAAAGGCCGUUAACCCGAGACAAGGCUCACGAAAAAUAGAGCGAGGAGUAUUAGAGCUAGAGCGAGCGAGCGAGAGCGAGGGAGGAGGCAGCUGAGCGAG